UUCAUCUUCAUCAUAAUCAAUAUCUCCAAGUUAAAGUUCUUCGUCUUCUGGGCUAUGAAGUAUGAACUGUGAACAUCUUCCUUUCCUGAUUUCUUAGUUCCGAUCUAUCAAAUCCAAUCUCUGAAACAAAUAGUCAAACAUACUAAAAGUCUAAAACUUACCAGUUACAAAUCAUUGCUUCCCAUAAUUAUUGACCCAUUCUAUGGGUUGGACAGCUCUCAUAUGUCUUGUAAGUGUUCCAGUCCCUCCUAAAUUUUCUUCGGUCAAAUGUUGAAAAGUUUCAUUAUAAAAUUUGCACUUAAUACUAUUAGUACCUUCUAUUAUUUCAAAAAAAUUCCAUACCUGACUUCUUCUUUUACGAUUAGAAGUUGGGUCAUUACUAUUACUAGUACUACCAGAAGCUACAGGACUAG
rnacentral:lncRNA from 1 species